GACGAACGCUGGCGGCGUGCCUAAUACAUGCAAGUAGAACGCACAGUUUAUACCGUAGCUUGCUACACCAUAGACUGUGAGUUGCGAACGGGUGAGUAACGCGUAGGUAACCUGCCUGGUAGCGGGGGAUAACUAUUGGAAACGAUAGCUAAUACCGCAUAGUAUUAAUUAUUGCAUGAUAAUUAAUUGAAAGGUGCAAUUGCACCACUACCAGAUGGACCUGCGUUGUAUUAGCUAGUAGGUGAGGUAACGGCUCACCUAGGCGACGAUACAUAGCCGACCUGAGAGGGUGAUCGGCCACACUGGGACUGAGACACGGCCCAGACUCCUACGGGAGGCAGCAGUAGGGAAUCUUCGGCAAUGGACGAAAGUCUGACCGAGCAACGCCGCGUGAGUGAAGAAGGUUUUCGGAUCGUAAAGCUCUGUUGUAAGAGAAGAACGGGUGUGAGAGUGGAAAGUUCACACUGUGACGGUAUCUUACCAGAAAGGGACGGCUAACUACGUG
rnacentral:rRNA from 1 species